ensembl:lncRNA
CAAGACCUGAAGAAAAGCCACUGGUGCUUGUGGAGGGCCCCAGCCAUGACGUGUCCGGCAGAAAGAGCAGGACUUGGGGCAGUGCGGCCCCAGAGAGGGGACAUAUUCUCUUUUGCAGUAACUACAGUCUGAAUAUCCAGGUGUUUGGGCUGAAACCAACCACCCUGGACUGGCGGCUCAUCACACCCGACAGUGAUAACUCUUCUGGGAACAGCCACCUGAUCAGAGUGCAGCAAUACUCCAUCAGCCAGACGGCCAGACUCGGAAUUGCGACUCACGGAGGCAGCUAUAUUGACUCCCUGCAGGUCCCCGUGGAACACUCAGUUCUUGCCAGUGCAGAACCCUGGAACCCAGGAUUACCGGCCAGUGCAAGACUUGAGAGAGCCAGGACCCCCAGGAGUGUAGGAGUCGGACAAGAGAUCUGCUUGGGACCCUGCAGCAAUUGGGCACCGAGCUUGGGCAAAGAUGGCCAAGAUGCAAUGUACUUAUAUAUUUUCCCAACAUAAAUUUGAUUAGUGUGUAUUGCAAACAAUUACAGAUAGUAACCCUAAAAAUAAAUGGUGACACUGACCAC